rnacentral:tRNA from 1 species
AUUUAAAUAGCUUAAAUAAAAGCAUAGUAUUGAAGAUACUAAGAUGAUUAUUUUAUCUUUAGAUA